CAGUCGCCGCGGUAACACGAAGGGGGCUAGCGUUGUUCGGAUUUACUGGGCGUAAAGCGCACGUAGGCGGAUUCUUAAGUCAGAGGUGAAAUCCCAAGGCUCAACCUUGGAACUGCCUUUGAUACUGGGGAUCUUGAGUUCGGGAGAGGUGAGUGGAACUGCGAGUGUAGAGGUGAAAUUCGUAGAUAUUCGCAAGAACACCAGUGGCGAAGGCGGCUCACUGGCCCGAUACUGACGCUGAGGUGCGAAAGCGUGGGGAGCAAACAGGAUUAGAGACCCGAGUAGUCCCUGUCUCUUAUAC
rnacentral:rRNA from 1 species